CUAGCCAUUCAGAAUCCUGAGGUGUAUGUUGGCUGUAGCAUAUUCAUUGUAGGAACUAGAUUGCACCAAGAUGGGAUCUAUCAACCUCGGUAGAUGAGAGGAGUAGUCCUAUGAUGAUCGAAAGAUUGAGUCCUUAAGCCCAUGGCCAUGGCAGAGUGAAAUAAUGGAAAAAAGUUUUCCAUUGGGGUUUCACAUCGGACUCGGAUCGAUCGAUUGAUUC
rnacentral:lncRNA from 1 species